GACGAACGCUGGCGGCGUGCCUAAUACAUGCAAGUCGAGCGAAUGAUGAGGAGCUUGCUCCUCUGAUUUAGCGGCGGACGGGUGAGUAACACGUGGGUAAUCUGCCUGUAAGACGGGGAUAACUCCGGGAAACCGGGGCUAAUACCGGAUAACAAGAGGAAAUGCAUAUUUCCUUUUUGAAAGUCGGUUUACGCUGACACUUACAGAUGAGCCCGCGGCGCAUUAGCUAGUUGGUGAGGUAAAGGCUAACCAAGGCGACGAUGCGUAGCCGACCUGGGAGGGUGAUCGGCCACACUGGGACUGAGACACGGCCCAGACUCCUACGGGAGGCAGCAGUAGGGAAUCUUCGGCAAUGGGCGAAAGCCUGACCGAGCAACGCCGCGUGAGCGAUGAAGGCCUUCGGGUCGUAAAGCUCUGUUGUUAGGGAAGAACAAGUACGAGAGUAACUGCUCGUACCUUGACGGUACCUAACCAGAAAGCCACGGCUAACUACGUGCCAGCCGCCGCCGUAA
rnacentral:rRNA from 1 species